AUAUUACUAAGCGGUGGAAAAGAAACUAACAAGGAUUCCUCCAGUAAUGGCGAAUGAAAAAGGAACAGCUCAAUUUUAAAAUCUUUACUUGUAAAGAAUUGUCAUUGCCAAAUUCAUCCUCCCCCCUCGUGGCCCCGGUCAAGUUUGUUGAAAUACAAUACCACGGAAGGUGAUAGUCCUGUCCACCGGCACCGCGAGACGUGUUGAUGAAUUGACGAGUCGAAUUGUUUGGGAUUGCAAUUCAAAACGGGUGGUAAAUUCCAUCUAAAGCUAAAUAUCGACAAGAGACCGAUAGCGCACAAGUA
rnacentral:rRNA from 1 species